GAUGAACGCUGGCGGCGUGCCUAAUACAUGCAAGUCGAGCGAACAGACGAGGAGCUUGCUCCUCUGACGUUAGCGGCGGACGGGUGAGUAACACGUGGAUAACCUACCUAUAAGACUGGGAUAACUUCGGGAAACCGGAGCUAAUACCGGAUAACAUGUUGAACCGCAUGGUUCAACAGUGAAAGACGGUCUUGCUGUCACUUAUAGAUGGAUCCGCGCCGCAUUAGCUAGUUGGUAAGGUAACGGCUUACCAAGGCAACGAUGCGUAGCCGACCUGAGAGGGUGAUCGGCCACACUGGAACUGAGACACGGUCCAGACUCCUACGGGAGGCAGCAGUAGGGAAUCUUCCGCAAUGGGCGAAAGCCUGAUGCAGCGACGCCGCGUGAGGGAUGACGGCCUUCGGGUUGUAAACCUCUUUCAGCAGGGAAGAAGCGAAAGUGACGGUACCUGCAGAAGAAGCACCGGCUAACUACGUG
rnacentral:rRNA from 1 species